GCCCGGGUGGCGGAAUUGGUAGACGCACGGGACUCAAAAUCCCGCGCAGCAAUGCGUGCCGGUUCGAUUCCGGCCCCGGGCACCA
rnacentral:tRNA from 3 species